GAAUUUUAGAAGAUAAAGUUAAUAUUGGGAAGCUGUAUAUAUGAUUACUGAUUUACAAUACCAUAUUUGUAAGGUGAUUAAAUACUUUGAGUCAUACAAGAAAAAGAAAUUAGGAAAAAUAGUAAAACUAUCAAUGGGUAGAAUUCUCAAAUCUCAUUUUCUUAUUUAGUAACAGUAUACAAAUCAAGUUGGUAGCAUUUACUCUUUUUUUUUUUUUUAUUCAAGGGAGGGGCGAAACCCAAAAACAAGAGAAAACUAACUAAGACCAGCACCCACCAUCCGGGGCCAGGCAAUGCCGUGAAAAUCAGAGGCUAACAAAUGACGAAUUUCCCUUGGAGGAUCCAGAAGAACAUGCUUGUUCAAAUUGCUGUCCACUGCCAUAUUAGCAAGACCAUCCGCAACUUGAUUAGCCUUGCGAUAACAGUGAUCAAGCUUUACUUCCCAGGCGCGACUCAACAAAGCUCGCAAGACCAGAUUGCCAAGCUUCAAAUUCAUGGCAUUCCUAUCCAAUGAAAGCUCAGCAGAUGCUUUAGAAUCCACGGCAACCAGUAAUCUUCUACAACCCACGUUUCAGGCCAAAUGAAGGCCAUUAAUCAAAGCUUGAAGUUCAGCUGUCAUGGAAUCACAAAUACCCAACCGUACUGUAUAGCCCGAUGGUCCCUUGGGAUACCACUCCCACCUCCGUAAUCGUAAAAGAACUAAAAAAUUU
rnacentral:misc_RNA from 1 species